AUUUUUAUUAUGUGUAUUAUUAUCUUGAGAAUUUUGUUCAAUGUGCUUUGAUCAUAUUCACCACUCUUUCCAGGUCUUCCUUCCAACCCACCCAAAUUUAUGUGUUUCUUUUUCAAAACCCAUCAAUUUCUUAUGGAGAUGCCCAUAUACUCUUGAAUGCAAAACAUCCCACUGGCAGCCUCAAGACUUGCAGAUGGAGUUAGCGUGUGACCCAGAGCUUCCCCCUUUUGGAUUUAUAUACCAGCAUGAUUAAAAACAAAAGCUCAAACAAUCAUUUCACAUAUUGUCAUGGGAACAGCCUUCAUAACAGCCCACAGAGGAAACAAUACAAAUUUCUAUCAACUGAUGGAUAAAAAAUGGCGGUGUGUUCCUUACACAGGAAUACUGUUGAGCUCCAGAAGGGAAUAGACUAUUGACAGGUGGUAUUAUGUAAGUGAACCUUGUAAACAUCUCACUGAGUGAAAGAAACCAGACAUAAAAUGUCACACAGUGUAUAAUUCUAUUUGUACAAGAUAUCCUCAAAAGGCCAAUUUUUUAGAGACAUAAGGCAGGUAUGUGGUUGCCAGAAGCUGUAAGGAAGAAUAACUAGUGACUGCUAACAGGUGUGUGAUCUCUUUGGGGAUUUGUAAACCUGCUCUGGAGUUAACUGCCAUGAUUGUACAACCUUGUAAACAUUCCAAUGUCCCCUGAAUUGUACGCUUGAAAAUUAUGAAUUUUAAAGUGUGAACUAGAUCUCAAAGACAGAAAAUUAGGAACACAUUUAUGUGAAGAUAUUUGAAAACAAAUGAAAUAAAUACUCUUGGAC
rnacentral:sRNA from 1 species